rnacentral:rRNA from 1 species
AGAGUUUGAUCCUGGCUCAGGACGAACGCUGGCGGCGUGCUUAACACAUGCAAGUCGAACGAGAAUCUGCGGAAAGAGGAUUCGUCCAAUUGAAGCAGAGGACAGUGGCGGACGGGUGAGUAACGCGUGAGGAACCUGCCUUUCAGAGGGGGACAACAGUUGGAAACGACUGCUAAUACCGCAUAACAUAUAGAUGUCGCAUGGCAUUUAUAUCAAAGAUUUAUCGCUGAAAGAUGGCCUCGCGUCUGAUUAGCUAGUUGGUGAGGUAACGGCCCACCAAGGCGACGAUCAGUAGCCGGACUGAGAGGUUGAACGGCCACAUUGGGACUGAGAUACGGCCCAGACUCCUACGGGAGGCAGCAGUGGGGAAUAUUGGGCAAUGGGCGCAAGCCUGACCCAGCAACGCCGCGUGAAGGAAGAAGGCUUUCGGGUUGUAAACUUCUUUUGUCAGGGACGAGUAGAAGACGGUACCUGACGAAUAAGCCACGGCUAACUACGUGCCAGCAGCCGCGGUAAUACGUAGGUGGCAAGCGUUGUCCGGAUUUACUGGGUGUAAAGGGCGUGUAGCCGGGAGGGCAAGUCAGAUGUGAAAUCCACGGGCUCAACUCGUGAACUGCAUUUGAAACUACUCUUCUUGAGUAUCGGAGAGGCAAUCGGAAUUCCUAGUGUAGCGGUGAAAUGCGUAGAUAUUAGGAGGAACACCAGUGGCGAAGGCGGCUUGCUGGACGACAACUGACGCUGAGGCGCGAAAGCGUGGGGAGCAAACAGGAUUAGAUACCCUGGUAGUCCACGCUGUAAACGAUGAAUACUAGGUGUGGGAGGACUGACCCCUUCCGUGCCGCAGUUAACACAAUAAGUAUUCCACCUGGGGAGUACGACCGCAAGGUUGAAACUCAAAGGAAUUGACGGGGGCCC